rnacentral:rRNA from 1 species
GUCCACGCCGUAAACGAUGGAUACUAGGUGUAGGAGGUAUCGACCCUCCUGUGCCGGAGUUAACGCAAUAAGUAUCCCGCCUGGGAAGUACGAUCGCAAGAUUAAACUCAAAGGAAUUGACGGGGCCCGCACAAGCGGUGGAGUAUGUGGUUUAAUUCGACGCAACGCGAAGAACCUUACCAGGUCUUGACAUUGAUCGCGAUCUGCAGAAAUGCGGAGUUCUUCUUCGGAAGACGAGAAACAAGGUGGUGCACGGCUGUCGU